UCCUCGAUGGUCUAACGGUCAUGAUUUCCGCUUGUCAUGGAUUAGUCCUUACAAGCGCGGGAGACCUGGGUUCGACUCCCAGUCGGGGAG
rnacentral:tRNA from 1 species